rnacentral:rRNA from 1 species
GACGAGCGCUGGCGGCGUGCCUAAUGCAUGCAAGUCGCACGCAGACACUUCGGUGUUUGAGUGGCGCACGGCUGAGGAACACGUGGGAACCUGCCCGCUUGUGGGGGAUAACCCACCGAAAGGUGAGCUAAUCCCGCAUACGCCCUUCGGGGGAAAGCCGCAAGGCGCAGGCGGAGGGGCCCGCGGCCCAUCAGGUUGUUGGCGGGGUAACGGCCCACCAAGCCACUGACGGGUAGCUGGUCUGUGAGGACAACCAGCCAGACUGGGACUGAGACACGGCCCAGACUCCUACGGGAGGCAGCAGCAAGGAAUUUUCGGCAAUGGGGGCAACCCUGACCGAGCAACGCCGCGUGGAGGAUGACGGCCUUCGGGUUGUAAACUCCUUUUCGGGAGGAAGAUAACGACGGUACUCCCGGAAUCAGGCUCGGUUAACUCUGUGCCAGCCGCCGCCGUAA